rnacentral:rRNA from 1 species
UACGUAGGUGACCAGCGUUGUCCGGAUUUACUGGGCGUAAAGAGCGCGCAGGCGGUCGUUCAAGUCGAGUGUGAAAGCCCCCGGCUCAACUGGGGAGGGUCACUCGAUACUGGUCGACUUGAAGGCAGGAGAGGGAAGCGGAAUUCCCGGUGUAGUGGUGAAAUGCGUAGAUAUCGGGAGGAACACCAGUGGCGAAGGCGGCUUCCUGGGAUAACACUGACGCUCAUGCACGAAAGCGUGGGGAGCAAACAGG